UAGGGAAUUUUCAGCAAUGGACGAAAGUCUGACCGAGCAACGCCGCGUGAAUGAAGAAGUACUUCGGUAUGUAAAGUUCUUUUAUUGGGGACGAAAAACCUGUGUAGGGAAUGACACAGGAGUGACGGUACCUAAUGAAUAAGCCCUGGCAAAAUAUGUGCCAGCAGCCGCGGUAAUACAUAUAGGGCAAGCGUUAUCCGGAUUUAUUGGGCGUAAAGAGUGCGUAGGCGGUUAAACAAGUCUGUAGUUAAAGAUCAGAGCUUAACUCUGUAAUGCUACAGAAACUGUUUGACUUGAGUGGGUUAGAGGUAAGUGGAAUUCCAUGUGUAGCGGUAAAAUGCGUAAAUAUAUGGAGGAACACCAGUGGCGAAGGCGGCUUACUGGGACUUAACUGACGCUGAGGCACGAAAGCGUGGGGAGCAAACA
rnacentral:rRNA from 1 species